CUGGAAGGAUUUGGGUAGGGA
rnacentral:miRNA from 1 species